UACAGAGGUCUCAAGCGUUGUUCGGAUUUAUUGGGCGUAAAGAGCGUGUAGGCGGCUUGGUAGGUCUGCUGUGAAAACUCGGGGCUCAACCCCGAGACGUCGGUGGAAACCACCUGGCUAGAGUCCGGAAGAGGAGAGUGGAAUUCCUGGUGUAGCGGUGAAAUGCGCAGAUAUCAGGAAGAAUAUCCGUGGCGAAGGCGGAUCUCUGGGCCUUACCUGACGCUGAGGCGCGAAAGCUAGGGGAGCGAACAGG
rnacentral:rRNA from 1 species